CAUACACAUUAUAUAUUACACCGUCUAUGGUUUAAUGCUCUGAAAUUAUAAUCUAGUCGAUUUUAUAUUAUAUCUAAAUGAAGAAAUAGUAUACAAAUUUAGUGUGUUGGUUUGGAAUAAAACAUCUUUCUUGAGUGUGAACAAAGGAGUAAAAUAAUUUGUGCCGAAAAUAUUAAAUCAACGAACUAAAAAGUAUAAGUUAUUCUAGGACGGCACUACCAAUUAUUUUGAAAAGAUGUUCGAUUAAAGCUUAAUUAUUUAAAUUCAGAAUUGAUAAACUGGAUCUGCAGGCACUUCCAUGGGUACACCGGCCCGAAUGCGCGAAUCAAAAAGGACCCGUACCACUCAAGCACAUAUGGAGGGUACCCGACCAGGCACUCUAAAAAUUCCUACUUACGUCUUUUGGAGUUUUAAAAAAGCAUUGAGGUCUUAAUACGUAUUGCUUAAGCAUGCAAUUAAAAUUUAAGUUACAUUAUUUUCGGUGUAUGGAACACAAUCAGGACUAAAAUAAAAUUAACAUUUACGCUACCAAAAAAAACCAAUCAAUUUAGUAAGCUUUUAAAAAUUUAAUCGAGUUUCAUAAAGUUACUGACAUAUUCGAAGCUUCCAUUAUUCCUGUCCAUCAAAACAGCGGCAACAAAAAUGCGAUGACAGGAGGCCGCGACACAUUAACAUUUUAAUUGUAAACGCCAGAUCGUUAGAGCACUUUCAGGCGACUAACGACGACAAACACUCGGCCUGGAAAAUCACCGCGGACAGCCGUGUGACGUCCAAUAGCGCGUGUGACGAGCGCUUAAUAGGUUAUUAUAAUUCCGCCACUAACGAAUUCGUAAUAUUGGAACAUGUCCCUAAAAUCGCGUAGUACGAAAUCAAAUUUCAAAGUAAUUAUGAACGCACCAGCAAAAUGGACAUCUGAUCAGAACAACCUACUUGCUUAUACAUUACUGACUUUCGUAGUGAUUGUAGGAUUAUACUUAUUUACCCAGAACUGGAAGGGUUUUACUGCUCCGGAAGAAGUUGAUCUUGGUUCCGUAAGAGUUAUCCGUCGAGGUAGAAAUCGUCGAAAACCUGAUCGCACAAGACCAGAUUGAACAAAUUCAUAUCGAAUUGCCUUAAUCAAUAGACUUAAUAAACAUUAGAAA